rnacentral:rRNA from 1 species
AGAGAGAGACAUGCGCGCAUAUCAAUAAGCGGAGGAAAAGAAACUAACAAGGAUUCCCUUAGUAACGGCGAGUGAAGCGGGAAGAGCUCAAAUUUGAAAUCUUCAAGGUUCUACCUUGACGAAUUGUAGUUUAUAGAAGUGUUUUCUGUUAGUGGAGUGGCAAAAGUUCUUUGGAAUAGGACAUCAUAGAGGGUGAGAAUCCCGUAUUUGGUCAUUCCUCCUAGCGUUGUGAUACACUUUCAACGAGUCGGAUUGUUUGGGAAUGCAGUCCAAAAUGGGUGGUAAAUUUCAUCUAAAGCUAAAUAUUGGCGAGAGACCGAUAGCGAACAAGUACCGUGAGGGAAAGAUGAAAAGAACUUUGAAAAGAGAGUUAAACAGUACGUGAAAUUGUCAAAAGGGAAGCGUUUGACACCAGUGUUGUUUUUCCGAAAAUCAAUUACGAAUGUUUUAGUUUUUGAGGAGUUAUGACUUCAUCGGCUUGCUCCUUUCUUUACGAAACUUUCUUAAUGCACUUUUCGGUUAACAAGUCAACAUCAAUUUCUUUUGUUGUAAAAGGGUAUGAGGAAGGUGGCUUUCUUUUCGGAGAAAGUGUUUAUAAGCCUUGUGCCUCUGCAAUCGGAGAGAUUGAGGUCUGCAGCGUAGAUCCUUCGGGGUUAGAUACGUUUGUGCUAAGUUAUAGCUUUUCAUAGACAACUUGUUGACUAUGUUUAGUCUUGUAGCUUACUCGCUGACGCUAUUUUACCUACGCUUAGGAUGUUGAUAGUCACAGCGUGUAC